rnacentral:rRNA from 1 species
AUUGAACGCUAGCGGGAUGCUUUACACAUGCAAGUCGAACGGUAGCACGAAGAAAGCUUGCUUUCUUUGGUGACGAGUGGCGAACGGGUGAGUAAUGUAUCGGAACGUACCCAGUAGCGGGGGAUAACUACGCGAAAGCGUGGCUAAUACCGCAUACGCCCUACGGGGGAAAGGGGGGGAUCGCAAGACCUCUCGCUAUUGGAGCGGCCGAUAUCGGAUUAGCUAGUUGGUGGGGUAAAGGCCCACCAAGGCGACGAUCCGUAGCUGGUUUGGAAGGACGACCAGCCACACUGGGACUGAGACACCGCCCAGACUCCGACUGGAGGCAGCAGUGGGGAAUUUUGGACAAUGGGGGCAACCCUGAUCCAGCCAUCCCGCGUGUGCGAUGAAGGCCUUCGGGUUGUAAAGCACUUUUGGCAGAGAAGAAACGACUCUGGAUAAUACCCGGGGUUAAUGACGGUAUCUGCAGAAUAAGCACCGGCUAACUACGUGCCAGCAGCCGCCGUAAUAC